rnacentral:rRNA from 1 species
AACGAACGCUGGCGGCAUGCCUAACACAUGCAAGUCGAACGAAAACUCCGGGUCUUGUGGCGCCUGGCUUCGUCACGCGUGGGAACCUGCACUUGUGUUCGGCCUAACUCUACGAAAGGGGUGAUAAUACCGGAUAAUAUCUUCGGACCAAAGAUAUAUCGAAUUUGUUGGUGCCCGAGUUGCAUUCGCUUGUUGUUAGGGUAAUAGCUUACGAAGGCGACGAUCCAUAGCUGGUCUGAGAGGAAGAUCAGCAACACCGAGACUGAGACACGGCCCAGACUCCUACGCGAUGCAGCAGAGGGUAAUAGAGGACAGUGGGCGAAAGGCUGAUGCAGCAAUGAUGGGAGAACGAUGAAGGCCUUAGGGUAGUAAAGCGCUAGUAACCGUGAUGAUAAUGACGGUACCUAGAGAAUAAGCCCCGGCUAACUCCGUG